rnacentral:misc_RNA from 1 species
UUUCCGUAGGUGAACCUGCGGAAGGAUCAUUACCUAGAGUUGUAGGCUUUGCCUGCUAUCUCUUACCCAUGUCUUUUGAGUACCUUACGUUUCCUCGGUGGGCUCGCCCGCCAAUGGGGACCUCGAAAACCUUUUGUAAUAAGCAGUAACAGUCGAUAAUACAAUCGUAUCAAAACUUCCAACAAUGGAUCUCUUGGUUCUGGCAUCGAUAAAGAACGCAGC